AUAGUAGUUAGUUUAAUAAAAACAAAUGAUUUCGACUCAUUAAAUUAUGCUUAAAUACAUAACUACUAA
rnacentral:tRNA from 4 species